UACGGAGGAUCCGAGCGUUAUCCGGAAUCAUUGGGUUUAAAGGGUCCGUAGGCGGGCCGUUAAGUCAGGGGUGAAAGUCCGCGGCUCAACCGUGGGAUUGCCCUUGAUACUGGCGGUCUUGAGUUAUGGCGAGGCAGCCAGAAUAUGUGGUGUAGCGGUGAAAUGCAUAGAUAUCACAUGGAAUACCGAUUGCGAAGGCAGGCUGCCAGCCCUAUACUGACGCUGAUGGACGAAAGCGUGGGUAGCGAACAGGAUUAGAUACCCUGGUAGUCCACGCCGUAAACGAUGGAUACUAGCUGUCCGGCGGCAACGCUGGGCGGCCCAGCGAAAGUGAUAAGUAUCCCACCUGGGGAGUACGUCCGCAAGGAUGAA
rnacentral:rRNA from 1 species